ACAACUAUUUCUUCUAAGGUUCCAAAGUCUAAGUUAAAUACAGAAUAGGGUCAGAGAGAUGGUUUUACAAGUACAUGCAAGUUUUAAAGGCACAUGCAUGCAAGAAGGCUAAGAAACUACAAGGGUUCAGAUACUUACCAAUUCAGAAUGAAAUUCUGGUUGGUACUGGUUGAAGGUCUUGGUGCCGGUAGCAAUAAUUCUGAAAGGAUGCAGGUGAUCGGAGAAGAAUUGGAGGUUAGAAAUCUAGAGAGAAGUUUGGGAGGUUUAGAGAGAAGAAGGAGAAUUUGAGUUUUCAGAGAGUUGAAGCUUUGAGGAAGAAGAAGGUUUGCAUGGGAAAAGUGGCGUCACGUUUCACUCUUAACUUAAAUACUGCCUCCACUAAAACGUUCGGCCCACUCCCAGCUUGCCACCUGACUUCCACUUUCUGGAACUUCACACUCCAUCAGCUGCCACACGGAUCACGGAGAAAGGGAAUUAAAAGCUUGG
rnacentral:lncRNA from 1 species